CUUAUUGUUUGACUCUGGUAUUAUUUUGAAUAUGGAAUGUAUCUGUAUGGAUGUUGUGCUUGAGCUUAUAUCUUGGUUGUGGUUUGAGAUGCUAGUCCUAUGUGGUGCUUAGUAUUCUUAGAGUUAGGGGAUGAUUUGUUUUUAACUUAAACUUUGUUUCUAGACUCGUUAACUGUUCGUGCUUUGGAGUCAGAGCAGGUUUAGGCUGUUUGCCAAGAUUCACGUGGAUACGCAAAUAGUGAGUUUGUAGUGUCAUUUACCAUUUUUUUAAGUACCGCAAUUAUUCCAGUAUAUAAAUUUUUUCGAACUGUUUUAAGUGAUUAUGGAUUUGGAUUGGAACGAGCUACUCGAUAGGCUUGUUGUAAUAUCCCGUAAUUGUUUUUAGACUUUUUCCGUCGAGAUUUCAGUAAAAUUGUAUAUUUAAAUUAAUUUUCAUUCUGAUAGAUUUUUUUUAGGAAGAUAAAACUCUAACUCUAAAUAUUAAACCUUUUCAUGCAUGGGCAUAAUUUAAACUUUCGACGUAUACUUAAAUUAAAGGGCUUUUUACCCAAAUAACCAACAUUGAUGUUUUAUUAUCUUAUUUACAGGACAGUUUUUCCAUUUAUUUUUAUACGACACGCUGAGUAAAACCUAACAUUUAUACCGUUUUUUCUAUUUUCUUCUUCCUCCUCUCUUUCCGUCAUUCAAGAAAAUUUCAGUCAACCUAAGUUUGUCCUUUCAUCUUCUCAACAACAAGCACCACCUUCAUCUGUAAUAUCGCCGGCGACAUCAGUUUUUCCACUGACGGCUUGUAAACGGAGAUCUCCAUCUGCUCAUUUAAGAGGUGGAGACGAUCUCCUAGAAGCGGCAGAGAUCUUCUAACAACGGCGGUAGAGAUCUCCUAGCAGCUGGCAGUAGUGAAGUUCAAACUGUCGAUACCGUUACCGUGGCCGAUGUCGUUCAGUGAGCGUAUAGUAUUUGAGUUUGUCUUCCUCUACUAUAUUUGACAUUAAAUUCCUUUUAAGUUUUUUGUUAUAGAUUUUUUUUAGGUUAUCAUCUCUGUUUGUUUAAUUUUUAAUUUUUGAAAUCCAUAAUUCGUUCGCUAUAUGUUUAAGGAAUUUAAUAUGUGAAAUUAGAUCAGUUGGCUUUGAGAGUAAGAUGUUAUGUUUUCCUUCACUGAAACAUGCGAUGCAUAUUGCGGUUGAACACUAGCUGAGUCGUCCUUACCAUUUGAUUUCAGUUUGUUAAUUUAUCUCAUGGUUCUAAUUAUGAACAACGGUGGCAGAUACAAUGGUUUUUCCAAGCAACUGAAUGCAAAUGGACUUAAGGUUUAUGGGAUGGAUUGGAUUGGUAUAGGAAAAUGAAACUGGAAUCUACAUUGCAGGGGAUUUGCAGUGGCACUAUCAAAGAGCAGAAAGGAUCGAAGAUGCUGCUUCGCGAGUUGCCGAAAAUAUUCAAAAUCAUUGCCAUUUCAGAAAUAGUUUUAGACUACCGUUAUAUAGUUUAAGUAUUAGACCCUAACCCCGAUAUAAACGCGUUUUUUCUUUUUUGUGUUCAUAAUAAUAAAUUCAUGAAAUUAGGUGUAAUGAUAUUUGAAAAGUUUAUAACUUUGAAAUUGUUCUCCAGUUGUAACUGACGAGUUUGCUUCGGAGCUAUAUAGAAACUUUGGAUGUA